UUUGAAAUCCGGCCCCCGGCCCGAGUUGUAAUUUGCAGAGGAUGCUUCCGGCGCGGCGCCUUCCGAGUUCCCUGGAACGGGACGCCACAGAGGGUGAGAGCCCCGUCCGGUCGGACGCCAAGCCGGUGUGAAGCUCCUUCGACGAGUCGAGUAGUUUGGGAAUGCUGCUCAAAACGGGAGGUAUAUGUCUUCUAAAGCUAAAUACCGGCCAGAGACCGAUAGCGCACAAGUAGAGUGAUCGAAAGAUGAAAAGCACUUUGGAAAGAGGGUUAAAAAGUACGUGAAAUUGUUGAAAGGGAAGCGCCCGUGACCAGACUCGGGCCCGGCGGAUCACCCGGCGUUCUCGCCGGGGCACUCCGCCGGGCGCGGGCCAGCAUCAGCUCGGCGCGGGGGACAAAGGCUCUGGGAACGUGGCUCCCCCGGGAGUGUUAUAGCCCACCGCGCAAUGCCCCGCGCCGGACUGAGGUACGCGCACCGCAAGGAUGCUGGCGUAAUGGUCACCGGCGACCCGUCUUGAAACACGGACCAAGGAGUCGUCUUCGUAUGCGAGUGUUCGGGUGUCAAACCCCUACGCGGAAUGAAAGUGAACGCAGGUGGGAGCCUCGGCGCACCACCGACCGAUCCCGAUGUUCUCGGACGGAUUUGAGUAGGAGCAUACGGGGCCGGACCCGAAAGAAGGUGAACUAUGCCUGUGUAGGGUGAAGCCAGAGGAAACUCUGGUGGAGGCUCGCAGCGGUUCUGACGUGCGAAUCGAUCGUCAAACAUGGGCAUGGGGGCGAAAGACUAAUCG
rnacentral:rRNA from 1 species